ACGAACGCUGGCGGCGUGGAUAAGACAUGCAAGUCGAACGGGAGAAUUGCUAGCUUGCUAAUAAUUCUCUAGUGGCGCACGGGUGAGUAACACGUGAGUAACCUGCCUCUUAGUGGGGGAUAGCCCUGGGAAACCGGGAUUAAUACCGCAUACGAUUGAAAGAUCAAAGCAGCAAUGCGCUAGGAGAUGGGCUCGCGGCCUAUUAGUUAGUUGGUGAGGUAACGGCUCACCAAGGCGAUGACGGGUAGCCGGUCUGAGAGGAUGUCCGGCCACACUGGAACUGAGACACGGUCCAGACACCUACGGGUGGCAGCAGUCGAGAAUCAUUCACAAUGGGGGCAACCCUGAUGGUGCGACGCCGCGUGGGGGAAUGAAGGUCUUCGGAUUGUAAACCCCUGUCAUGUGGGAGCAAAUUAAAAAGAUAGUACCACAAGAGGAAGAGACGGCUAACUCUGUGCCAGCAGCCGCGGUAAUACAGAGGUCUCAAGCGUUGUUCGGAAUCACUGGGCGUAAAGCGUGCGUAGGCUGUUUCGUAAGUCGUGUGUGAAAGGCAGGGGCUCAACCCCUGGAUUGCACAUGAUACUGCGAGACUAGAGUAAUGGAGGGGGAACCGGAAUUCUCGGUGUAGCAGUGAAAUGCGUAGAUAUCGAGAGGAACACUCGUGGCGAAGGCGGGUUCUUGGACAUUAACUGACGCUGAGGCACGAAGGCCAGGGGAGCGAAAGGGAUUAGAUACCCCUGUAGUCCUGGCAGUAAACGGUGCACGCUUGGUGUGCGGGGAAUCGACCCCCUGCGUGCCGGAGCUAACGCGUUAAGCGUGCCGCCUGGGGAGUACGGUCGCAAGAUUAAAACUCAAAGAAAUUGACGGGGACCCGCACAAGCGGUGGAGUAUGUGGCUUAAUUCGAUGCAACGCGAAGAACCUUACCUGGGCUUGACAUGUAAUGAACAACAUGUGAAAGCAUGCGACUCUUCGGAGGCGUUACACAGGUGCUGCAUGGCCGUCGUCAGCUCGUGUCGUGAGAUGUUUGGUUAAGUCCAGCAACGAGCGCAACCCCUGUUGCCAGUUACCAGCACGUCAAGGUGGGGACUCUGGCGAGACUGCCCAGAUCAACUGGGAGGAAGGUGGGGACGACGUCAGGUCAGUAUGGCCCUUAUGCCCAGGGCUGCACACGUACUACAAUGCCCAGUACAGAGGGGGCCGAAGCCGCGAGGCGGAGGAAAUCCUGAAAACUGGGCCCAGUUCGGACUGUAGGCUGCAACCCGCCUACACGAAGCCGGAAUCGCUAGUAAUGGCGCAUCAGCUACGGCGCCGUGAAUACGUUCCCGGGUCUUGUACACACCGCCCGUCACAUCAUGGAAGCCGGUCGCACCCGAAGUAUCUGAAGCCAACCGCAAGGAGGCAGGGUCCUAAGGUGAGACUGGUAACUGGGAUG
rnacentral:rRNA from 1 species